UUCAUGGAGAGUUUGAUCCUGGCUCAGGACGAACGCUGGCGGCGUGCCUAAUACAUGCAAGUCGAGCGGACAGAUGGGAGCUUGCUCCCUGAUGUUAGCGGCGGACGGGUGAGUAACACGUGGGUAACCUGCCUGUAAGACUGGGAUAACUCCGGGAAACCGGGGCUAAUACCGGAUGCUUGAUUGAACCGCAUGGUUCAAUUAUAAAAGGUGGCUUUUAGCUACCACUUACAGAUGGACCCGCGGCGCAUUAGCUAGUUGGUGAGGUAACGGCUCACCAAGGCGACGAUGCGUAGCCGACCUGAGAGGGUGAUCGGCCACACUGGGACUGAGACACGGCCCAG
rnacentral:rRNA from 1 species